CGGCUGCUCAGUAACACGUAGUCAACUUACCCUAUGGACGAGGAUAAUCUCGGGAAACUGAGCAUAAUACUCGAUAGAUCAUAAUGCCUGGAAUGGUUUAUGGUUGAAAUGAUUCGUCGCCAUAGGAUGGGACUGCGGCCUAUCAGCUUGUUGGUGAGGUAAUGGCCCACCAAGGCGAUUACAGGUACGGGCUCUGAGAGGAGAAGCCCGGAGAUGGGUACUGAGACAAGGACCCAGGCCCUAUGGGGCGCAGCAGGCGAGAAAACUUUGCAAUGUGCGAAAGCACGACAAGGUUAAUCCGAGUGAUUUCUGCUAAGGAAAUCUUUUGCAAGUCAUAAAACCACUAGUGAAUAAGGGGUGGGCAAGUUCUGGUGUCAGCCGCCGCGGUAAAACCAGCACCUCAAGUGGUCAGGAGGAUUAUUGGGCCUAAAGCAUCCGUAGCCGGCUCUGUAAGUUUUCGGUUAAAUCCAUGUGCUCAACGCAUGGGCUGCCGAAAAUACUGCAUAGCUAGGGAGUGGGAGAGGUAGACGGUACUCGGUAGGAAGGGGUAAAAUCCUUUGAUCUAUCGAUGACCACCUGUGGCGAAGGCGGUCUACCAGAACACGUUCGACGGUGAGGGAUGAAAGCUGGGGGAGCAAACCGGAUUAGAUACCCGGGUAGUCCCAGCUGUAAACGAUGCAGACUCGAUGAUGCAUUGGCAUAUAGCCAGUGCAGUGUCGCAGGGAAGCCGUUAAGUCUGCCGCCUGGGAAGUACGUACGCAAGUAUGAAACUUAAAGGAAUUGGCGGGGGAGCAG
rnacentral:rRNA from 1 species